rnacentral:rRNA from 18 species
AGAUUAAGUUAUUAAGGGCGCACGGUGGAUGCCUUGGCACUAGAAGCCGAUGAAGGACGUUACUAACGACGAUAUGCUUUGGGUAGCUGUAAGUAAGCGUUGAUCCAGAGAUUUCCGAAUGGGGGAACCCAGCAUGAGUUAUGUCAUGUUAUCGACAUGUGAAUUCAUAGCAUGUCAGAAGGCAGACCCGGAGAACUGAAACAUCUUAGUACCCGGAGGAAGAGAAAGAAAAAUCGAUUCCCUGAGUAGCGGCGAGCGAAACGGGAAGAGCCCAAACCAACAAGCUUGCUUGUUGGGGUUGUAGGACACUCUAUACGGAGUUACAAAAGAACAUGUUAGACGAAUCAUCUGGAAAGAUGAAUCAAAGAAGGUAAUAAUCCUGUAGUCGAAAACAUAUUCUCUCUUGAGUGGAUCCUGAGUACGACGGAGCACGUGAAAUUCCGUCGGAAUCUGGGAGGACCAUCUCCUAAGGCUAAAUACUCUCUAGUGACCGAUAGUGAACCAGUACCGUGAGGGAAAGGUGAAAAGUACCCCGGAAGGGGAGUGAAAGAGAACUUGAAACCGUGUGCUUACAAGUAGUCAGAGCCCGUUAAUGGGUGAUGGCGUGCCUUUUGUAGAAUGAACCGGCGAGUUACGAUCUGAUGCAAGGUUAAGCAGCAAAUGUGGAGCCGCAGCGAAAGCGAGUCUGAAUAGGGCGUUGAGUAUUUGGUCGUAGACCCGAAACCAGGUGAUCUACCCUUGGUCAGGUUGAAGUUCAGGUAACACUGAAUGGAGGACCGAACCGACUUACGUUGAAAAGUGAGCGGAUGAACUGAGGGUAGCGGAGAAAUUCCAAUCGAACUUGGAGAUAGCUGGUUCUCUCCGAAAUAGCUUUAGGGCUAGCCUCAAGUGAUGAUUAUUGGAGGUAGAGCACUGUUUGGACGAGGGGCCCCUCUCGGGUUACCGAAUUCAGACAAACUCCGAAUGCCAAUUAAUUUAACUUGGGAGUCAGAACAUGGGUGAUAAGGUCCGUGUUCGAAAGGGAAACAGCCCAGACCACCAGCUAAGGUCCCAAAAUAUAUGUUAAGUGGAAAAGGAUGUGGCGUUGCCCAGACAACUAGGAUGUUGGCUUAGAAGCAGCCAUCAUUUAAAGAGUGCGUAAUAGCUCACUAGUCGAGUGACACUGCGCCGAAAAUGUACCGGGGCUAAACAUAUUACCGAAGCUGUGGAUUGUCCUUUGGACAAUGGUAGGAGAGCGUUCUAAGGGCGUCGAAGCAUGAUCGCAAGGACAUGUGGAGCGCUUAGAAGUGAGAAUGCCGGUGUGAGUAGCGAAAGACGGGUGAGAAUCCCGUCCACCGAUUGACUAAGGUUUCCAGAGGAAGGCUCGUCCGCUCUGGGUUAGUCGGGUCCUAAGCUGAGGCCGACAGGCGUAGGCGAUGGAUAACAGGUUGAUAUUCCUGUACCACCUAGUAUCGUUUUAAUCGAUGGGGGGACGCAGUAGGAUAGGCGAAGCGUGCUGUUGGAGUGCACGUCCAAGCAGUAAGGCUGAGUGUUAGGCAAAUCCGGCACUCAUAAGGCUGAGCUGUGAUGGGGAGAGGAAAUUGUUUCCUCGAGUCGUUGAUUUCACACUGCCGAGAAAAGCCUCUAGAUAGAUAACAGGUGCCCGUACCGCAAACCGACACAGGUAGUCAAGAUGAGAAUUCUAAGGUGAGCGAGCGAACUCUCGUUAAGGAACUCGGCAAAAUGACCCCGUAACUUCGGGAGAAGGGGUGCUCUUUAGGGUUCACGCCCAGAAGAGCCGCAGUGAAUAGGCCCAAGCGACUGUUUAUCAAAAACACAGGUCUCUGCUAAACCGUAAGGUGAUGUAUAGGGGCUGACGCCUGCCCGGUGCUGGAAGGUUAAGAGGAGUGGUUAGCUUCUGCGAAGCUACGAAUCGAAGCCCCAGUAAACGGCGGCCGUAACUAUAACGGUCCUAAGGUAGCGAAAUUCCUUGUCGGGUAAGUUCCGACCCGCACGAAAGGCGUAACGAUUUGGGCACUGUCUCAACGAGAGACUCGGUGAAAUCAUAGUACCUGUGAAGAUGCAGGUUACCCGCGACAGGACGGAAAGACCCCGUGGAGCUUUACUGUAGCCUGAUAUUGAAAUUCGGCACAGCUUGUACAGGAUAGGUAGGAGCCUUUGAAACGUGAGCGCUAGCUUACGUGGAGGCGUUGGUGGGAUACUACCCUAGCUGUGUUGGCUUUCUAACCCGCACCACUUAUCGUGGUGGGAGACAGUGUCAGGCGGGCAGUUUGACUGGGGCGGUCGCCUCCUAAAAGGUAACGGAGGCGCUCAAAGGUUCCCUCAGAAUGGUUGGAAAUCAUUCAUAGAGUGUAAAGGCAUAAGGGAGCUUGACUGCGAGACCUACAAGUCGAGCAGGGUCGAAAGACGGACUUAGUGAUCCGGUGGUUCCGCAUGGAAGGGCCAUCGCUCAACGGAUAAAAGCUACCCCGGGGAUAACAGGCUUAUCUCCCCCAAGAGUUCACAUCGACGGGGAGGUUUGGCACCUCGAUGUCGGCUCAUCGCAUCCUGGGGCUGUAGUCGGUCCCAAGGGUUGGGCUGUUCGCCCAUUAAAGCGGUACGCGAGCUGGGUUCAGAACGUCGUGAGACAGUUCGGUCCCUAUCCGUCGUGGGCGUAGGAAAUUUGAGAGGAGCUGUCCUUAGUACGAGAGGACCGGGAUGGACAUACCUCUGGUGUACCAGUUGUCGUGCCAACGGCAUAGCUGGGUAGCUAUGUAUGGACGGGAUAAGUGCUGAAAGCAUCUAAGCAUGAAGCCCCCCUCAAGAUGAGAUUUCCCAACUUCGGUUAUAAGAUCCCUCGAAGAUGACGAGGUUAAUAGGUUCGAGGUGGAAGCGUGGUGACACGUGGAGCUGACGAAUACUAAUCGAUCGAAGACUUAAUCAAUUUUUAAA